GCAAGCGCAAAAGCGCGCGCUCGCUCGCGCGCGUGUGUAUGCGUAUGCGUGCCUGAGAGCGCGCGCUGGCGUCUUCCCAGCGUUGUAGCGGAGCGGCUCGCGCGCAACUCUGGAGUCUCACUUUUAGAAAAGAUUCACACCGAGGAAGUAAAGCAAUAUAAAUUCUUUCACAGCUGUGUGUAUGAAGAGCUACACCAGGCAACGAGCUCUGCUGUACUGGAGCAUGAUGAAGAACACAAUGAAGGUCAUGCUGCUACUGUUCUCGGUUCUUCUAACCCAACCUCUGCAGGGUCACACCAGGCCGGCCAGCCCAGAGCAAGAGCGUUCACCUCACAGACCCAUCCUCCAAGCCGGCCUGCCUGCUAAUCGUAAAGCAGUGGUGGGCAGCGAUGUGGAGUUUGAGUGCAAAGUCUAUGGUGAAUUGCCAACACACAUCCAGUGGCUGAAACACAUCGAGGUCAAUGGCAGAAAAAUUUGAGAAGAUGGUCUGCCCUAUGUCAAAGUCUUACAAAGAUCAUUCGUCACAACCACGGAUAAGGAGAUGGAAGUGCUGCAGCUCAAAAAUGUGUCUUUAGAGGACGCUGGGGUGUACACGUGCUUGGCUGGCAAUGCUAUCGGCAUUUCUCAUCACUCUGCAUUGUUGACUGUCUAUAAAGAAACGGCUGCACACACCCUGCGUGAGGAAGAUAACCUAUAUCUGAAGUGUAUGAGCAUAGAAAAGCCUCAAGAAGUGAGCUGGACCAAGGACCAAGUUCCCCUUGCUGAUGGGGAACACACUCAUCAACGCAAUGGUCAGCUAGACAUCGAGGGAGUGGAACUAGCUGACUCAGCAUUUGCGUUUGAAGAUGACAACGACGACGAUUCUUCUUCAGAGAAAGUGAAGCAUUCCAGUGGCCAAGAGCUAUCACCAAAGGCUCCGGAGUGGGCUCAGCCUGAGAAGAUGGAGAAGAAGCUCCGCAUGGUUGGAGCCAGCAAUACCGUCAAAUUAUACUGUAUGGCCAUCGGAAACCCCACACCCAUGCUCAAGUGGCUGAAGAACGGCAGGGAGUUUAAGGAAGACCAGCGCAUGGGAGGCUUUAAGGUACAAAAGAACUCAUGGUCGAUCGUAAUGGAAUCGGUGGUGCCCUCAGACAGCGGUAACUACACCUGUGUGGCGGAAAAUAAGUAUGGCAGCAUCGACCACACCUAUCAGCUAGACAUUGCUGAGCGUUCGCCUCGCAGGCCCAUCCUCCAAGCUGGCCUGCCUGCUAAUCGUACAGCAGUGGUGGGCAGCGAUGUGGAGUUUGAGUGCAAAGUCUAUGGUGACUUGCCAACACACAUCCAGUGGCUGAAACACAUCGAGGUCAAUGGCAGAAAAAUGGGAGAAGAUGGUCUGCCCUAUGUCAAAGUCUUACAAAGAUCAUUCCUCACAACCAAGGAUAAGGAGAUGGAAGUGCUGCAGCUCAAGAAUGUGUCUUUAGAGGACGCUGGGAUGUACACGUGCUUGGCUGGCAAUGCUAUCGGCGUUUCUCAUCAAUCUGCAUUGUUGACUGUCUAUAAAGGUGUUCCAGAGCGUUCGGCUCACAGACCCAUCCUCCAUCCCGGCCUGCCAGCUAAUCGUACAGCAGUGGUGGGCAGUGAUGUGGAGUUCGAGUGCAAAGUCUGUAGUCACCCGCCAGCACACAUCCAGUGGCUGAAACACAUCGAGGUCAACGGCAGCAAAGUGAGAGAAGAUGGUCUACCCUACAUCAAAAUCAUAAAGAUGGCAGGCGUGAACACCACGGAUAAGGAGAUGCAAGUGCUGCAGCUCAAGAAUGUGUCUUUAGAGGACGUUGGGGUGUACACAUGCUUGGCUGGCAACUCUAUCGGCCAUUCUCAUCACUCUGCAUGGUUGACUGUCUAUGAAGAGGGACCCAGAAGACAGAGUUGAUCCAUCAACAUUUCACACAGUCCAGCCUGUGUAUCUGGUAUCACCUUCACAAACCUGCUGCCAUCAACAAAGAGAGAAGAUGCAUAAGACAAAAUGAGCUCCAGAAAGCCAGGGGGCAGGUGGAAGCUUAAGCAAGCCGAAGAGAGCGCAUCGAAGCUUGGUCACAAUCAGUUGGUCUCACAUGGUUGGUUUCUUGGGACCCUGAGGUCCCAGACUUUCGACCAUGGGGCUCAUUUGAACCAUCUCAAACAACACUAAGACUUCAGUGUUCAUUUUGAUCAUCAAGGUGUGUUUUGGCAAAAUUCAGAUGAACCUUAAUGUUCUUCUGGGUUAGCAGUGGUUUUCACCUCACCACUCUUCCAUGGUUGCCAUUUUUGCCCAGUGUCUUUCUGAGUGGAGUCAUGAACAGUGACCUUUAUUGAUGCAAGAGAGGCCUGUAGUUCCUUUGAUGGUGUCCUUGGCUCUUUUGUGGCUUCCUGGAUGAGUCGUACUGGGUAAAACCUUUUAACCUUUUACCAGCAGUAAUCAGGCCUGGUUGCAUCUAGUCCAGCUGAACCCCAUUACGAAUGCCGUUUCAUAGAUUUGGGGAAUUAGUAACUAUGGGGGCAAAUACAUUUUCACACAGGCCCAGAUGACAUUGGAUAACUUUUUUGCUUCAAUGAAUAACAUUAUCAUAUCAUUUCUUAGAAUUUGAGAAUUUGUCUGUGGUUCCAUGGCGUAUCUAGAGUGACCAGAGGUACCAAGAUGGACAUACCUUUUAAGUUCCUUGGCCAUAGCUCCAUGUAGAAGAAUUCAAAUUUCAAAGAAGAGCAUUUUGUAAGAUGUGAAUCUUAAAAAGCGGGGGAAAAAAUCCUUCUUGUGGCAAACGCAAUCCAUUUUUGUCCUCAUUCCAGAAUCUUCCAGAACGAAACCACUGAUGUAUAUUAAGCUGCAUGACACAAUAUCAUGGCAUGGCAUGAAUUCUCAUUUUUUAAUAGGCUCGCAAACGCAAAAGAAUGUUAUUAAUAUUAUAUAAAUCUUUAC